GGGAAUGUGGCUUAGUGGUAGAGUUCUUGUCUAGCAUGCAUGAAGCUGUGGGUUUGAUUCCUCAGUACCA
rfam:Dipodomys ordii contig_33007, whole genome shotgun sequence.